rnacentral:rRNA from 1 species
AGCGAACGUUAGCGGCAGGCCUAACACAUGCAAGUCGCACGAGAAUUCGGCUUCGGCCGAUAGUAAAGUGGCGGACGGGUGAGUAACACGUGGAUAAUCUGCCCUUCGGCGGGGACGAACAGUCCGAAAGGAGUUGCUAAUACCGCAUAAGUCAGCUGGUCCUUGGACCUAGUUGGGAAAGAUGGCCUCUUCAUGAAGCUAUCUCCGAAGGAUGAGUCCGCGUCCCAUCAGCUUGUUGGCGGUGUAAGAGACCACCAAGGCUAAGACGGGUAGCUGGUCUGAGAGGAUGAGUCAGCCACACUGGAACUGA